GGGACUUUAAGGAUAAUUUCGUCUUUAACCAUACUAAUGCAUGCGUUAAUAGUCUUGGUAUUACUAAUGCCAAAUACAUAGGAUAAUAUCAAGUAUGAUGUAUAGAGCUAAUGCUUGCAUUAUUUUUUCUAAUACCUCCUACCAAACGACCCUUGUUGUGUACUUAAAGACAGAAUCCAUCAGUAAGGUGCACAAGCCUUAGCACCUUAACACCUACACUAAAGCGCAAAUUACCCAAGGCGAAGCACACACCAAGCUUCAGUGCUUAAGUGCCCUUUAAGCGAGCCUAUAACAACACUACAACUAGCUUAAUAGAAAUUCUUGCAUAUAUGUAAGCAAUUUUGGUUCCUUCUAUUGAGUUUAUGUAAGAACUCAUAAUCUUAUUCGCUUCAGCUUUUCUUUUUAUUCACAGGAACCUUCGCCUCAUCUACUUUUGUAGUUUACAAUCUUUUUUUCCAGUCUUUGAACAGAUCUAUUCUCUUCAUUUUCCCUCUUUCUGUUUUUUAUUGUAACCAAGUUGUACCCCUUUUUCCUUGUCGUCGUCACAGGUUGGCAAUAACAAUCACAUAUUCUGCUGGGCAUGCCAGAAUUAUUAUUGUUACCUUUGUAGAAAGAUGCUCGCUUUGAGCCGAGGGUCUAUCAUAUACCUGCACAAGAAAGAUGGCGAAGCAAAGCUCCCAGCAUUGUGGACCUAAGGGCUGCAAACAACACACUGCUGAAUAGUUGGAAAGAACGUUUCAAUUUAAGGGGAUCUCUUCCUGAAUUUUUUUUGUUCUUGUUCAUUGAAGUCCAUAUUCCUCAUACGUUCUUAUGCCAAAAUUGAUGUUUAGGAUCCUAGCUUAUCGCCCGACGACAUGUUUUCUCGUGUGAUAUAUGCCAUUUUCAAAGCAAUUGUAAGUACAAAUUGUAGCAUACAUCGGAUUUAGUGUAAGUGGGUUCCUCUAAAAACUGAGGCAGACUGCCAUCUUUGACAAUAGGAACGAUGCCGGCACAAGCACAUGUUUUAACCACUGUUUUUCUUUCUUUCCAAAGGUAAAAGAGUGUUGUUGAGAGUACUUGUAUGUCGGAUGUUUAUAUCAAAUCAAUAAAUGUAAUUUAUAUAUGAUUAAGUGA